rnacentral:rRNA from 1 species
AGUGAACGCUGGCGGUAGGCCUAACACAUGCAAGUCGAACGGCAGCACAGUAAGAGCUUGCUCUUACGGGUGGCGAGUGGCGGACGGGUGAGGAAUACAUCGGAGUCUACUUUUUCGUGGGGGAGAACGUAGGGAAACUUACGCUAAUACCGCAUACGACCUACGGGUGAAAGCAUGGGAUCUUCGGACCUUGCGCGAGUGAAUGAGCCGAUGUCGGAUUAGCUAGUUGGCGGGGUAAAGGCCCACCAAGGCGACGAUCCGUAGCUGGUCUGAGAGGAUGAUCAGCCACACUGGAACUGAGACACGGUCCAGACUCCUACGGGAGGCAGCAGUGGGGAAUAUUGGACAAUGGGCGCAAGCCUGAUCCAGCCAUACCGCGUGGGUGAAGAAGGCCUUCGGGUUGUAAAGCCCUUUUGUUGGGAAAGAAAAGCAGCAGGUUAAUACCCCGCUGUUUUGACGGUACCCAAAGAAUAAGCACCGGCUAACUUCGUG